rnacentral:rRNA from 1 species
ACGAACGCUGGCGGCGUGCCUAAUACAUGCAAGUUGAGCGCUGAAGGUUGGUACUUGUACCAACUGGAUGAGCAGCGAACGGGUGAGUAACGCGUGGGGAAUCUGCCUUUGUGCGGGGGACAACAUUUGGAAACGAAUGCUAAUACCGCAUAAAAACUUUAAACACAAGUUUUAAGUUUGAAAGAUGCAAUUGCAUCACUCAAAGAUGAUCCCGCGUUGUAUUAGCUAGUUGGUGAGGUAAAGGCUCACCAAGGCGAUGAUACAUAGCCGACCUGAGAGGGUGAUCGGCCACAUUGGGACUGAGACACGGCCCAAACUCCUACGGGAGGCAGCAGUAGGGAAUCUUCGGCAAUGGACGAAAGUCUGACCGAGCAACGCCGCGUGAGUGAAGAAGGUUUUCGGAUCGUAAAACUCUGUUGGUAGAGAAGAACGUUGGUGAGAGUGGAAAGCUCAUCAAGUGACGGUAACUACCCAGAAAGGGACGGCUAACUACGUG